rnacentral:rRNA from 1 species
AACCCCUACACCAGUUGCAUCAUACAGUUGGGACUCUGGGACGACCGCCGCCGACUCAAAAGCCGGACGGAACGACAGGGACGCCGUAAAAGUCAUAAUUGCGCCUUAAUGCACGGGGCUGCACACGUCCUACAAUGGGCCGGAAAGAGCGUUGCCACUGCGUAAGAGGCGCAAAAUCGCAGAAACCGGUCCUCAGUUCGGAUUGUGGGCUGCAACCCGCCCACAUAAAGCUGGAAUCGCUAGUAAUCGCGGAUAAGAAGUGCCGCGGUGAAUGGGUUCCUGAGCCUUGUACAACACCGCCCGUCAAGCCACAAAAGCGGGGGGCACCCCGAAAGAUCGCUGAGCCCGCAAGGGAAGGCGACGAAGGUGAAACCCGUGAUGGGGACUAAGUCGUAACAAGGUAACCCGGGCG